GCCCAGGGUUCUUUAUUUCACUAGGCUGGAUGACAACAACAUGGUCUGCAGGGUAUGGAAGCAGGGCCUUAGGAGGCAGUGUCAGGUUGGGAAAAAAUAGACUUAGUGACUCCUAUCUCAUCCAAGCUCUGUGAGCAGUCAUGCAUCCCAGAUGCAUUCUGGGAUGGCUUGGGUCCAGCUGAGGAGAAAAGGGAGAAGGGGAGGGUGCCUCUUUUCUCCUUCUCUCUGCUUGUGAGUCUUCCUGUCAACUUGGAAUCUCAGCCUCUAACACUCUGGAGAAGUCACAGAACCAAAGGACUGGAAAACAACAAGCCAAUGUCUUCCUUUGAAGACUGAGCUCCAAGAUAGACGAAUCCAACAAUCAAAUAUGUAUUGAGCACCUACAUUUGGUAAGGUCCAGUCUAGGCUCUGAGAGGGACCUAGAAGUGUCUACACCUCUUCCAGAAUAUUGGAGUCUAAUUGGGCAAACAAGGCAUAGACACAUGGAGAGAUAACUACGGAGACAAGGCAGUCAAUAAAGGGAAAUGACAUGUUGAGAGUUAAUAAAUC
rnacentral:lncRNA from 1 species